AGCAGCCGCGGUAAUUCCAGCUCCAGUAGCGUAUAUUAAAGUUGUUGCAGUUAAAAAGCUCGUAGUUGAAUUUCGGGGUCAAUACGUCGGUCGUGCCUCGGUACGCACUAACGUUAUUGAUUCCUCCCUUCUGACGAACCGUGAUGUCAUUAAUUUGGUGUUGUGGGGAAUCAGGACUGUUACCUUGAAAAAAUUAGAGUGUUUAAAGCAGGCAAUCGCUCGAAUACAUUAGCAUGGAAUAAUGAAAUAGGACGUUCGAACCUAUUUUGUUGGUUUCUAGGAUCGACGUAAUGAUUAAUAGGGAUAGUUGGGGGCAUUAGUAUUCAAUUGUCAGAGGUGAAAUUCUUGGAUUUAUUGAAGACUAACUACUGCGAAAGCAUUUGCCAAGGAUGUUUUCAUUAAUCAAGAACGAAAGUUAGGGGAUCGAAGACGAUCAGAUACCGUCGUAGUCUUAACCAUAAACUAUGCCGACUAGGGAUCGGAUGAUGUUAAUUUUUUAAUGACUCAUUCGGCGUCUUACG
rnacentral:rRNA from 1 species